UGUGUUUUGGUGAUGGUGAUGUGUUUGUAGAUCUUACUUUACUAAACAUUCUUGCUGCUUACAAUUAUCUCUAUCUAUAACAGUACUUUCUGGGAAAUGUUAUUUAAAAUCUUCAAAUUUUAAGAAAAUUGUUAAAAAUUGACUAUGAAGGGCAAUAACUCCUUAGGGGGUCAAUUGACUAUUUUGGUCAUAGUGACUUAUUUUUAGUUCUUACUUUGCUG
rnacentral:lncRNA from 1 species